GUCACGAAUUACUUCGUGGUGUUCUGUUUCGAUGGUCCUUAGGGCGCUCGGCGCCGGGGCACACGAGUGAUGGAUGAGCGCCCCGGAGGGCCAACUCGGGGACACUUGCAAGUGCGCCUUGGGCACACCGGGCCUCCGUCUCUCAGAAGAUGAGGGCGGGGGCCACGCGUGGUCAGAACAUCUCGGUGGCAGAUUGCUCCCGGAACCGAGUCGCGCAGCAAACCCCGCGGCUGUCAGUGAGGCGUCUUCUCCCAGUGGGAAGACUGGCAUCCUUGCAAAAAUUACAUAAACAAAUGUAAACUGACAACUCUGGAAGUACCUUUGAAAGGUGGGUCCUCAGAAGGGCCAUGAAGAUCUCUCUCUAUUCUCUGCAUUUAUGCACCUGCCUCCCUGUUCCCUGAGACACAAUAUUGAAAUUAGGCCAACAGAUAACCCUACAAUGGCCUCUACGUGUUCAAGUGAAAGGAAGAGUUACACAUCUGUCACUUGAAAUCAAAAGCUAUGAUUAAGCUUAGUGAGGAAGGUGGUCAAAAGCCAAGUUAGGCUGAAAGCAGCUAGGCCUCUUGCACCAAACAGCCAAGUUGUAAAUGCAAAGGAAAAUUUCUUGAAGAAAAUUAAAAGUGCUACUCCAGUGAACACACAAAUGUGUGAACAGAAGUCACAAUAUUCCCAUAAACCAAAGCCUGAUCCAGAGUGCAAACUCUUCAGUUCUUGGUAGGCUGGGAGAGGCGAGGAAGCUACAGAGAGGAAAUGGGGCUAACGGAGGUGGAUUCGUGCAGUUUAAGAAGCCAUCUCUGUACAAGUACAAAGUGAAGUAGUAAGUGCUGAUGUGGAAGCUGCAGCAAGUUGUCCAGAAGAUGUGGCUAAAAUCAUUACUGAAGGUGGCUACACUAAGCAAAAGAUCUUCAAUGGAAAAAGAUGUCAUCUAGGACUUUCAUAGCUAGAGAAAAGUCAAUGCCUGGCUUCAGUUUCAAAGGACAAGCUGACUCUUAUUAAGGGCAAAUGUAGCUGAUGACUUUAAGCAGAAACCAGUGUUCAUUUACCAUUCUGAAAAUCCUAGGACCCUUAAGGAUUAUGCUAAAUCUGCUCUGCCUGUGCUCUAUAAAUGGAACAUCAAAGCCUGAUGACAGCACAUCUGUUUACAACAUGGUUUACUGAGUAUUUUAGGUCCACAGUACUGCUCAAAGAAAGAAAAGAAAAAAGAUCAUUUUCAAAACAUUACUGUUUAAUUGACAAUGUCUCCCUUAUUCUGCCUUUUCUCCAAAACCAUCUUUAGGGCACCAUUCUUCCUUCCUGCAGCCCAGGUGGAUUUUCGUCUCAUCUUCUCUUAUCUGGUGCUCUUUGUGUCUCCUUGGGAGUAUACGGGGUAAUAAACAUAUUCCCUCUGGAAAUGGCUCAAAUGUGAAAGGUGGAUGUGUUGGAAGGAAAUGGGAGUGUCUUAUAAGGACCCCGCGAAAAGUGAAACGUUCAGUAUCACUGUGAAGAGAGGGGCCAAGAUGGCAGAACAGCAUGAAGUUUUUUUGUGUGUCUCUCGUCCCUGAAAUGCAGCCAGA